CUGCUCGCUGACUUCUCUUGUUGCAAAAAAGCUAAGUAUCGUUCUAUCUGUGUGAUUUUAACUGUUUUGCAGCUUUAUUUACAACUUAUCGAACAUAUUUAAUAGUUCAAUUUAACUUGCAAAUCACCCGAUCUCUGUCUCACCACUCCGCCCUCAGCUAGCUAGCUGCUAAGCUAACGAGGCUAGCGGAGAAAGGCAGCGCCGGUCUGAAGGAAGCUCCUCCCCCGCCACCGUGACCACCACUUCCCGAAGACAGCUGGCACUCCACUCGGCGACGGAAAGUUUCUGGGGUCCGGUCCGAUGACCAUGGAUGAAGUACUGGCUGUCCAGAGUCGAGACCCAGGAUGGACCGCUCGUCGGGACCCAGGAUGGACCGCUCGCCUGUAUCGGUUGGGGACAUCUCUACGCUGCUGAUCCGCUCGAGAUGGUUUCCUGUGGACGGGACUCUCGCUGCUGUCUUGGAGCCACUGUGGAUUGAACUUUCGCAGUAUCAUGUUGGACCCGCUCGACAUCCAUUGCUUUCGGUCCCCUAGAGGGGGGGGGUU